CCCAAUCAGAAUCUGCAUUGUAUUAUCAUAGCCUGUCACCAUGAUUAAGAUGCUCGUUCUUAUCGGUCUGCUCUGCCUUGCUGCCAUGGUGAUGACGCAAGACCUCCAAGGUUCUUAUUGCUUAGACAAAGGAGAAGACUGUAAGUUAAAUGGGAGGUUCGAGUGUUGUCGAAGGUUGGUCUGCAGAAAAAAGCUAAUAGGCAGAGGCCGUUCAUGCCAAAGGAAGUAAUAAAAAUGAUUGUGCACGGAGGGGUGAUCGUUUUCCGAGGAAUGGCUGCAGGUAACACCGCAGAUCAAAUCGGAAGGCUUCUCAAGAGACAAACAGGUCCUACGAUGCAGAGCUGAAAUUACCUCCCCUACAGUUUACAACUCAUACAUGAAAAAGAAAACAGUUUUAAACUGUAUUCAAAUAUAGCGAGCUUAA